rnacentral:ncRNA from 1 species
GGUAGUAGAAUAUAUUCAAAUGAGAACUUUGAACACUGAAGUGGGAAAAGGUUCCAUGUGAACAACAUUUGGACACGGGUUAGUCAAUUCUAAGAGAUGGAGAAACCCUAUAUCAAUGGUGUUGUCUACAUGAACAUCGAAAGGGAAUCAUGUUAAUAUUACCAUACCUGGACAUGAUGGUGGAUGGCAAUGUUAGGAAAUUUGAAGAUGUUGUUGGGGUCCUUGGGAAGAGUUGACUUUUCUUUUUAACAAGUUUCCCACCAUGAAAUUGGUUCAACUGGAGAUAGGGUCUAACAGUUGGAAGAACAUCAGAUGUCUUGUAGUGUCCAGUGCGUCCUCAACGACCCUUGAAAAUAUGGAGAAUCGAGUGUCAUCCAUUAUUUAUUGUACUCAUAACUACAUCAAGUCUCAAAGGCGACCAACCUCUAGUC